ACGUCUUCUCCUUGAGUUAUUGGCUCUUUUUUGCAUUCACCCAGCUACUUCAUCCAGCUUAAGGGCUCAGGAGUAGGCCAUUGUGGAGGAAGUGACAGGAGCCCUGUUAUGUAAGAAGACAGGGAGGUAGAUUGCCCAUGCUCACCUCCGGGAGCCUCAGUCACUCUACCACAGAGUGCCCCAGGAGAGACAGAAUGAAAGGAAAGGAAGCAGUGAAAAUGAAGAGGCCAGUGCUGAUGUUCUGGGUGAGUGAGUGAUCUUUAUUUUCUUCUUUUUCCUUUAACAAGAGAGUUUAUUUUACUAUACGAAGAACACAGAUUGUGGUAUUAUUUCAGAAAAGUUCAAGAAGGAAAGAAUCCCU
rnacentral:lncRNA from 1 species